GUGAGCAUAGUUUAAUAUAAAAUGCCAAGCUGUGGACUUGACCACAGAGGCACCGCCUCUUGCACACC
rnacentral:tRNA from 1 species